rnacentral:rRNA from 1 species
CAGCAGCCACGGGAAUACGUAGGUGGCAAGCGUUGUCCGGAAUUAUUGGGCGUAAAGGGCUCGCAGGCGGUUUCUUAAGUCUGAUGUGAAAGCCCCCGGCUCAACCGGGGAGGGUUAUUGGAAACUGGGAAACUUGAGUGCAGAAGAGGAGAGUGGAAUUCCACGUGUAGCGGUGAAAUGCGUAGAGAUGUGGAGGAACACCAGUAGCGAAGGCGACUCUCUGGUCUGUAACUGACGCUGAGGAGCGAAAGCGUGGGGAGCGAACAGGAUUAGAUACCCCCGUAGUCCCUGUCUCUUAUAC